UACAGUUCGCUGAGCCUCAGAGAACUGGUGGAAGAAUACGUUAUUGUACGCAACGAAUCUUUGGGAGGAGCAAUUGCCGAUUUCGGACUUACAGCCGAUUACAGAUAUUGGACACAGACUCAACCACCCCCAGCGGAGCCUCCAGUUUCGGGAGAAGAGGAUUGGAUCGAAUACACUAUGCCAAUAGAAUACCUUCCUACUGAAGAGAUACAUUGCUUUGGAAUUUUCACGUGGUCAUUUCAAAUGGGCGUAUCUGCCCCAUUUCACAUUUUUCUCAACGUCACAGUUCCUGUAGGGAUCUCUGGACUACCACCUAGGUUCGUCGUAUUCGACCUAAGCAACAAGACACAGGAGACAGUAAUCGAAAAGUGGGGAAAGGAUUCAGUUACGAGCAAUCAUAGGAAACACAUAAGGGUAUACACUUUCACAGUUAAGGUCGACUUUGAAGGCUUCUUUGCAUAUUGUCUCAAGGGAAUCAACAGUGUGUCACCAACUUGCACUGCCGUGAAUGUCACCGCCCUCGCGGACAGCAGUAGAGGACUCACGAUAGACAAAGGCAAGCUAACUUACACGUUGAACGGAACUUAUGUGGAACAAAUAGUGUGCUACGGUAAGCGUAGAAAAAAUAAAGUUUUGCAUAUUCAA